rnacentral:rRNA from 1 species
GAUGAACGCUGGCGGCGUGCUUAACACAUGCAAGUCGAACGGGUGAAGGUAAAUGCUUGCAUUUACCGGAGCUAGUGGCGGACGGGUGAGUAACGCGUGGGCAACCUGCCCUAUGGAGGGGGAUAACAAUGAGAAAUCAUUGCUAAUACCGCAUAAGCUUACAGUAAAGCAUUUUAGAGCGAGAAAAGAUUUAUCGCCAUAGGAUGGGCCCGCGUCUGAUAAGCUAGUUGGUGUGGUAACGGCAUACCAAGGCAACGAUCAGUAGCCGACCUGAGAGGGUGAACGGCCACAUUGGGACUGAGACACGGCCCAAACUCCUACGGGAGGCAGCAGUGGGGAAUAUUGGGCAAUGGGCGAAAGCCUGACCCAGCGACGCCGCGUGGAGGAAGAAGGUUUUCGGAUUGUAAACUCCUGUCUUCGGGGAAGAUAAUGACGGUACCUGACUAAGAAGCCCCGGCUAAUUACGUGCCAGCCGCCGCGGUAAAAC